AAUUGAGCAUGGAGUGGAACCAAGAUCCCAUCUGGUCCCUAAAUAGUCCUUGGAUUCAAAAUUUUGCCCAUUAUGCAGACAUUUUGAAUUUCUAAUAACCCUGAUUAUUAAGCUCAGAAUUUUUGUUUUGUAUAUAACUGUCGUCUCACCUAGCUCAGCUAGUAACUGUCGUCUCACCUAGCUCAGCUAGUAACGUUGUUUAAGCUGAGCUGUUAAGAUAGAGGCAAUAACCUGGGAGUUAAAUGUCUUGGAAGAACUUAGAUUAUCCUUGUCGAUGAACAACUUAAUUAAGAGCCCUGGAGAAUCAAUACUC
rnacentral:lncRNA from 1 species